AUACGGAGGGUGCAAGCGUUAUCCGGAUUUACUGGGUUUAAGGGUACGCAGGCGGUAAUUUAAGUCAGUGGUGAAAGCCUACAGCUCAACUGUAGAACUGCCAUUGAAACUGAAUUACUUGAGUAUGGUAGAGGUAGGCGGAAUACAACAUGUAGCGGUGAAAUGCAUAGAUAUGUUGUAGAACACCGAUUGCGAAGGCAGCUUACUAAACCAUUACUGACGCUCAUGUACGAAAGCGUGGGGAGCGAACAGGAUUAGAUACCCUAGUAGUCC
rnacentral:rRNA from 1 species